rnacentral:rRNA from 1 species
AUGCCAGACCCCUUUGCCGCCGCCGCUUUCAGGCGCUCGGCCCGUCGCCCCUGGGUGCUCACCGACUCGAAGUGCCACAUCGGCGACCGCGACAACGGGACAACCGCCCGCGGCGUCACCAGCCAGAGCGGCGACAUCAAGGUGACUUUCGAGCUGGCUGACCCGCCGGGCGUUUCUCGCUGCUUCGUCCACUGCCCCGGCCUGGCGGAGGGCCGCUACGGCGGAGAUCCCGUGGUUGUGAGUUCGGCGGAGGCGUUCGUCCUUCUCGUCGUCCCGUUCACCGAAGGCUACAGGCGCAGGGAGUACAAGGAUUUCUUCGUCUACAGGGCAGGUCCAGGGGCUCCAUCUCUCCGCCUUCUCCCCGCCUCCUACCGCUGCUGUCCCGACUACGUCACGCUGGCCGGCGUCGUGCCCCUCGGCGGCGGCGAUCUCAACAACGAAGACUACGCCGCGGUCUUGCCCGUCGCGUCGCGAUCGCGACACACAGAAGACUCUAACAGCAAGAAGUACAUCGGCAUCCGCGUGUAUCGCUCCGAUAAGUCUGAGUGGCCAUGGUGCUACAAGAUGGCCAAAAUCGCCAUGGACACCAAGACAUACAACAACCAUCACCAAGUGAUGCGGCACCAAGGCACCAGAGUGAUCUUCGCCGGAGCAGGAACACUUGGCUGGGUCAAUCAUUGGCACGGCAUUCUGCUAUGCAACGUGCUGGACAACAAUCCGGUCAUGCGUUUGAUCCAAUGGCCCGUUCCGAUCCCUUGCGAUCUGGUGUCGCGGUUUGGCAUAGGAGUCGACGAUAUCUACCCGCGCCCGUCUCGCGAUGUCGCAAUAAGCAAUGGCGUGAUCAGAUUCGUUGAGCUGAAAUCUUGUUCGUGUACUGAGUCACGCAAUGAGAAAGGGGUCAUUGGCCAAGGCUGGACGGCCACCACAUGGAAUUGGGACAUCCGCUCAAAGAAAUGGCACAAGAGGUUUACCAUCAAGGCUGAUAACGUGCCUGUCACAGGUUCAAGUUUCCCUAAGAUAUCGGCUGGCAAGAGGUUGAGCUGGGACAAGGUGGUUCAUGGUGGGCCCACUCUUAGCUUGUGUGACGACGAUGUUGUCUACAUAAUGGCUAGACUGGACAUCCGCCCGCCGGUUGCAUGGAUGCUUGCCAUUAACAUCAGAGAGGGAACAUUGGAAGCGGUCAAGCAGUGUUCUGCUGAAAAGAUGCUCGGUCUUGAGCCGACUUAUGUUCAGUGUGCCUUCUCCAACUACAUCAAGCAGUGGAGAAGGCGAUGA